rnacentral:rRNA from 1 species
CCUACGGGUGGCAGCAGUGGGGAAUAUUGGACAAUGGGCGAAAGCCUGAUCCAGCCAUGCCGCGUGUGUGAAGAAGGCCUUCGGGUUGUAAAGCACUUUCAGUGGGGAAGAAAGCCUUGGGGCUAAUACCCUCGAGGAAGGACAUCACCCACAGAAGAAGCACCGGCUAACUCCGUGCCAGCAGCCGCGGUAAUACGGAGGGUGCGAGCGUUAAUCGGAAUUACUGGGCGUAAAGCGCGCGUAGGCGGUCUGAUAAGCCGGUUGUGAAAGCCCCGGGCUCAACCUGGGAACGGCAUCCGGAACUGUCAGGCUAGAGUGCAGGAGAGGAAGGUAGAAUUCACGGUGUAGCGGUGAAAUGCGUAGAGAUCGGGAGGAAUACCAGUGGCGAAGGCGGCCUUCUGGACUGACACUGACGCUGAGGUGCGAAAGCGUGGGUAGCAAACAGGAUUAGAUACCCGAGUAGUC